rfam:Pear latent virus 33 kDa RNA polymerase pre-readthrough protein, 92 kDa RNA polymerase, coat protein CP, 22 kDa movement protein, and 19 kDa symptom severity modulator genes, complete cds.
GAAAUUCCUCAGAUUUCUCCCUGUUGACCAGGAGUUAUCGGUGAGUUGCGCUUUGUGCUUUGCGUAAGGGAUUUCUCUCGUACAGGUACGAUCUCGGACCAGCUACGGGUUUGAAGGGUGAGCCUAUUCUUCGGAAGGGUAAAUUGUAACUUUCACCAAUAAGCAAUG